GUACAAGACUUGUUAUUGGAGUCGCUUUCUUCUUGAUUGGUGUGUUUGCCCAAAUCCCGCUCGCGGAUCAACUGAAAUGUCGACUAUGCAACAACGCAUUGGAGCUAAGAGAUUGCACAAAGCAGGCGAUAUGCGACAAUAGGACCGAGUGUCAGUCGCUGUAACUAUGAAGAGUUUGGAGGGAAACAAACAUCCGCUUAAAGAAUGCACCACAAAAUGGUGCCAAUCAAAUUAUAUGUAAAGGGAUAUCACUAUUAAAAUAUGGAAA